rnacentral:rRNA from 1 species
AAUCAACGCUGGCGGCGUGCCUCAGACAUGCAAGUCGAACGCGAAAGUUUCCUUCGGGGGAUGAGUAGAGUGGCGCACGGGUGAGUAACACGUAGGUAAUCUACCUUUGGAUGGGGAAUAACAAUCGGAAACGGUUGCUAAUACCGCAUAAUGCAGCGGCACCUAAUGGUGACAGUUGUUAAAGCGGGGGAUCGAAAGACCUCGCGUCUGAAGAGGAGCCUGCGGCGGAUUAGCUAGUUGGUAAGGUAACGGCUUACCAAGGCGACGAUCCGUAGCCGGCCUGAGAGGGCGGUCGGCCACACUGACACUGACAUACGGGUCAGACUCCUACGGGAGGCAGCAGUCGGGAAUUUUGGGCAAUGGGCGAAAGCCUGACCCAGCAACGCCGCGUGAA